AAUCCAUAGGUUAAUGAGGCGAACCGGGGGAACUGAAACAUCUAAGUACCCCGAGGAAAAGAAAUCAACCGAGAUUCCCCCAGUAGCGGCGAGCGAACGGGGAGGAGCCCAGAGCCUGAAUCAGCAUGUGUGUUAGUGGAAGCGUCUGGAAAGGCGCGCGAUACAGGGUGACAGCCCCGUACACAAAAGCGCAUGUGCUGUGAGCUCGAUGAGUAGGGCGGGACACGUGGUAUCCUGUCUGAAUAUGGGGGGACCAUCCUCCAAGGCUAAAUACUCCUGACUGACCGAUAGUGAACCAGUACCGUGAGGGAAAGGCGAAAAGAACCCCGGCGAGGGGAGUGAAAAAGAACCUGAAACCGUGUACGUACAAGCAGUGGGAGCACCCUUUGGGUGUGACUGCGUACCUUUUGUAUAAUGGGUCAGCGACUUAUAUUCUGUAGCAAGGUUAACCGAAUAGGGGAGCCGGAGGGAAACCGAGUCUUAACCGGGCGUUAAGUUGCAGGGUAUAGACCCGAAACCCGGUGAUCUAGCCAUGGGCAGGUUGAAGGUUGGGUAACACUAACUGGAGGACCGAACCGACUAAUGUUGAAAAAUUAGCGGAUGACCUGUGGCUGGGGGUGAAAGGCCAAUCAAACCGGGAGAUAGCUGGUUCUCCCCGAAAGCUAUUUAGGUAGCGCCUCGUGAAUUCAUCUCCGGGGGUAGAGCACUGUUUCGGCUAGGGGGCCAUCCCGGCUUACCAACCCGAUGCAAACUGCGAAUACCGGAGAAUGUUAUCACGGGAGACACACGGCGGGUGCUAACGUCCGUCGUGAAGAGGGAAACAACCCAGACCGCCAGCUAAGGUCCCAAAGUCAUGGUUAAGUGGGAAACGAUGUGGGAAGGCCCAGACAGCCAGGAUGUUGGCUUAGAAGCAGCCAUCAUUUAAAGAAAGCGUAAUAGCUCACUGGUCGAGUCGGCCUGCGCGGAAGAUGUAACGGGGCUAAACCAUGCACCGAAGCUGCGGCAGCGACACUGUGUGUUGUUGGGUAGGGGAGCGUUCUGUAAGCCUGUGAAGGUGUGUCGUGAGGCAUGCUGGAGGUAUCAGAAGUGCGAAUGCUGACAUAAGUAACGAUAAAGCGGGUGAAAAGCCCGCUCGCCGGAAGACCAAGGGUUCCUGUCCAACGUUAAUCGGGGCAGGGUGAGUCGACCCCUAAGGCGAGGCCGAAAGGCGUAGUCGAUGGGAAACGGGUUAAUAUUCCCGUACUUGGUGUUACUGCGAAGGGGGGACGGAGAAGGCUAUGUUGGCCGGGCGACGGUUGUCCCGGUUUAAGCGUGUAGGUGUGUGUUCCAGGUAAAUCCGGUUCACUUUAACACUGAGGCGUGACGACGAGGCACUACGGUGCUGAAGCAACAAAUGCCCUGCUUCCAGGAAAAGCCUCUAAGCAUCAGGUAACAUCAAAUCGUACCCCAAACCGACACAGGUGGUCAGGUAGAGAAUACCAAGGCGCUUGAGAGAACUCGGGU
rnacentral:rRNA from 1 species